CAAACUCCGAAUACCAAAGAGUGCGAGCGUGGGAGACAGACAUCGGGUGCUAACGUCCGGUGUCAAAAGGGAAACAACCCAGACCCUCAGCUAAGGUCCCCAAGACACAGUUAAGUGGGAAACGAAGUGGGAAGGCAUAAACAGUCAGGAGGUUGGCUUAGAAGCAGCCACCCUUUAAAGAAAGCGUAAUAGCUCACUGAUCGAGUCGUCCUGCGCGGAAGAUGUAACGGGGCUCAAACUGUGCACCGAAGCUAGGGAUUUACAUUUAUGUAAAUGGUAGGAGAGCGUUCCGUAGGCCUGUGAAGGUGGCUUGUAAAGGCUGCUGGAGGUAUCGGAAGUGCGAAUGCUGACAUGAGUAGCGAUAAAGGGAGUGAAAGGCUCCCUCGCCGAAAAACCCAAGGUUUCCUGUGCAACGUUCAUCGGCGCA
rnacentral:rRNA from 1 species